AGUGAACGCUGGCGGUAGGCCUAACACAUGCAAGUCGAACGGCAGCACGGGAGAGCUUGCUCUCUGGGUGGCGAGUGGCGGACGAGUGAGGAAUACAUCGGAAUCUACUCUGUCGUGGGGGAUAACGUAGGGAAACUUACGCUAAUACCGCAUACGACCUACGGGUGAAAGCAGGGGACCUUCGGGCCUGCGCGAUUGAAUGAGCCGAUGUCGGAUUAGCUAGUUGGCGGGGUAAAGGCCCACCAAGGCGACGAUCCGUAGCUGGUCUGAGAGGAUGAUCAGCCACACUGGAACUGCGACACGGUCCAGACUCCUACGGGAGGCAGCAGUGGGGAAUAUUGGACAAUGGGCGCAAGCCUGAUCCAGCCAUACCGCGUGGGUGAAGAAGGCCUUCGGGUUGUAAAGCCCUUUUGUUGGGAAAGAAAUCCAGCUGGCUAAUACCCGGUUGGGAUGACGGUACCCAAAGAAUAAGCACCGGCUAACUUCGUGCCAGCAGCCGCCGUAA
rnacentral:rRNA from 1 species